AGAGUUUGAUCCUGGCUCAGGAUGAACGCUGGCGGCGUGCCUAACACAUGCAAGUCGAGCGAUUCUCUUCGGAGAAGAGCGGCGGACGGGUGAGUAACGCGUGGGUAACCUGCCCUGUACACACGGAUAACAUACCGAAAGGUAUGCUAAUACGAGAUAAUAUGCUUUUAUCGCAUGGUAGAAGUAUCAAAGCUUUUGCGGUACAGGAUGGACCCGCGUCUGAUUAGCUAGUUGGUAAGGUAACGGCUUACCAAGGCGACGAUCAGUAGCCGACCUGAGAGGGUGAUCGGCCACAUUGGAACUGAGACACGGUCCAAACUCCUACGGGAGGCAGCAGUGGGGAAUAUUGCACAAUGGGCGAAAGCCUGAUGCAGCAACGCCGCGUGAGCGAUGAAGGCCUUCGGGUCGUAAAGCUCUGUCCUCAAGGAAGAUAAUGACGGUACUUGAGGAGGAAGCCCCGGCUAACUACGUGCCAGCAGCCGCGGUAAUACGUAGGGGGCUAGCGUUAUCCGGAAUUACUGGGCGUAAAGGGUGCGUAGGUGGUUUCUUAAGUCAGAGGUGAAAGGCUACGGCUCAACCGUAGUAAGCCUUUGAAACUGGGAAACUUGAGUGCAGGAGAGGAGAGUGGAAUUCCUAGUGUAGCGGUGAAAUGCGUAGAUAUUAGGAGGAACACCAGUUGCGAAGGCGGCUCUCUGGACUGUAACUGACACUGAGGCACGAAAGCGUGGGGAGCAAACAGGAUUAGAUACCCUGGUAGUCCACGCUGUAAACGAUGAGUACUAGCUGUCGGAGGUUACCCCCUUCGGUGGCGCAGCUAACGCAUUAAGUACUCCGCCUGGGAAGUACGCUCGCAAGAGUGAAACUCAAAGGAAUUGACG
rnacentral:rRNA from 1 species